UACAUUGAAAUAUAAUGACAGCAGUUUUCUUAACUAGCAACAAGGAGGAAGAUAAUAAGCACUAUGCUCAGCAAUGGAAUCAGUGUGAGACAACUUCAGAACAAAUACUGAAAUUGCAUUUUUUCAGUGUCUAAAAGCACCUUUUAUGUAACUUACAAUUACGCAAGAUAGGCAUGCCUGUGAAGAACAGCACACACUUGAACUUAAACAUUAUGGCAUUCUAAAUCAGCUAAACAAAAGACACACCUGCAGAGGCUUUGAUCUCCUAUACUUAUUUGCAACCCACCUUGAGACAGCUGCUCUUACAACUGCCAAACUGCUUUCUCUACAUCAUCUUGAAAAGUGCAGUCCUCCAGGAAAAUCUUCUCCCUAUUAAUGUCUUCAGAGGCCUCACAUGAGUGAAGAUACAUAGAACUACAGACUAGUUAGUCUGGUCUAGAGAGAACCAGGCCUAAUGAGCGUAUUACUUCUCCAACUCAAGCAGACUUUGGUUAAUAAAAGAUACUUCCCCUGAAUCUCAUCUCAGCACUCCAAAAUAGAACUCAUAGUAACUCAGAUGUCUGUGCAAUGGCUGAGCAAUGCAAGCUGGUCCAUGCUAGCAAAAACCAGUGGAUUUGGAAAGAACAGGCAAGAGGAUAUUGCAUUGGAAAGAAGAGACUUCCAUGACAAGGAUGUUCAAAAGUAGCACAGAUGAUUCUGAAGUAAAAGCUAUAAAAUAUUUUCAACAGAAGAAUUUCCUUCCCCUCUAAAUAUUCAGUUCUUGAAGACAGUUUCAAACAAACCCUUCCUACAUUUCAGCUUAAUGGCAAAAUCUGCUCUCGAGAACUGCUCACCACUUCCUCCUCUAAGUACCACUUAGUGCAGAACCAGCCUUAAUAACAGAAAUCUCUCUGAGAAAUGCAAAAAACAAGCCAGAUGCAGAAGAAGAGAGUCCCCAGAUCCACAUUAAGUGUUCUGUGAGAAUACUGCCUUUAUGGGAGACAUCACUGACACCUUCAGUCUCCUCUUCCUGCUGCCCUACUCCCUUGCUAGCAGGGACAAUGUGUUACAUUGGAAGACCUACUUGCAGCACACCAAGAACAAGCACUGCAACCAAGGCCUUUUUGCAAUUGAUAUUGGUGCCUAUUAUUCAGUCUGCCCUGCUAUUCUGCAAAACAAGGUACCAGCUCUCCAGAACCACACUCCCUGUACAGAAUUCCUCAUCUAAUCAGUGUUGUGCUAAUUGAUGGGAUGCAUAUCUGCAGUUUUCAUUUCCUUGUUCCCCUGCCCUUCUUUGCUGUUACACCCUGAGAUACACAUGAGCCAGCAACUGGCUGAUGAAAGAUAAGAACUAAAAGCAAAUUAUGUAAAAACCAAAUAAAUUAUUGCAACUCCACU